rnacentral:rRNA from 1 species
GACAGAGGUGCCGAGCGUUAGGCGGAAUCACUGGGCUUAAAGCGUGUGUAGGCGGAGUGCUAAGUACCUUGUGAAAUCCCACGGCUUAACCGUGGAACUGCUUAGUAUACUGGUUCUCUUGGGUCAUCUAGGGGCGAGCGGAACAAACGGUGGAGCGGUGAAAUGCGUAGAUAUCGUUUGGAACGCCAAUGGUGAAAACAGCUCGCUGGGGAUGCACCGACGCUGAGACACGAAAGCCAGGGGAGCGAACGGG